AUUUCAUGAUGAGGGAACUUUUGUAAUAAUUCUUUGUACCUUUCCCAGGCCUCAUAAAAGGACUCAUCAUCCAUUUGUUGGAAAGCAGUGAUCUCGUUCCUCAACUU
rfam:Gossypium hirsutum cultivar TM-1 chromosome 22, whole genome shotgun sequence